CGGGUUCGGGUUGGGUUCGGGUUUAGGUUUAUCAGGUUGGGUUCGGGUUGGGUUCGAGCAUUCCCUUAUCAGGUCGGGUUCGGGUUUGGCCUUAUCAGGUCGGGUUGAUAUCAGGUCGACCCGAUAGCGAUCCGAUCCGCACGAUUUGCCAGCCCUACUUAGUACCCCCCCCCCCUUAUUUUUCCUAUGCGCCUCUCUUCACUUUCCCAAAUCUCUCAAACUCUGCAAAUUAAGAAUCCGCCGCAUCCAACUUAUAUUGUCGUCUCCAACUCGUCAACUCCCUCAAGGCUCAACGACUUCAUCUAGGCCACACAUAAUCACCGUCUAUUUGUUGUUUGCACUCUUUCCCGGUCUCUCUCUGUCGUCCGACGGUAGCUGCCGCCUAGCCCUCGCCGGCUUGCCCCGUCUCCUUCGACCGACGGCAGAAGUGAGGUAAGGCGGCAGCCUAUUAGGGUGUUUUCGAAGUUUGAUUUUUUUUUUCCGCCUUACUGAAGAAUCCAUGGAUUAAGUCGAACAUUUUGUAGAUAUACAGAAAUACUUGAAUAUUUUGUAAAUCUCCAAAUAAUCAGACAUUAGACAAAAUACUUGAUGCUCAUUGCUUUUAUUGAUGGAUAAUGUUAAGAUGUAUGAAAUCAUUUGUUGAAGACAAAAAAACAAUAUAAAGCCGCCCUAAUUUUAUUUCUAAAUCAGUCUAAAUUAUGCCGUUUCUUCAUCUUCACUCUAUUUUUUGUUUUAAUUCUUUCAUCAUAACUCUUCUUCUCUAUGCGCCUCCUUUUUCAUCUCUUCUUUAUUCAGACCCUCUUCUUAUUCUUUCUUCUUGCUGGCAGAAUGUUUCCUUCUUUUUCAUCUCUUUUCUUCAGUUCCUUCUUAUUCUUUUAUUCUUUCUUCUUGUUGGCAGAAUGUUACCUUCUUUUUCGUCUCUUUUCUUCAGUUAUCACGGGUUGGUGGUGGUAAUAGUAGUGUUGGAGUGACGAUGACAAUGAAGGAUGAUUGUUGGUAAAUUUGAGAAGCUACGAUUAGCAAGUGUGG
rnacentral:lncRNA from 1 species